GAUGAACGCUGGCGGCGUGCCUAAUACAUGCAAGUCGAACGAAACUUCUUUAUCACCGAGUGCUUGCACUCACCGAUAAAGAGUUGAGUGGCAAACGGGUGAGUAACACGUGGGCAACCUGCCCAAAAGAGGGGGAUAACACUUGGAAACAGGUGCUAAUACCGCAUAACCAUAGUUACCGCAUGGUAACUAUGUAAAAGGUGGCUAUACUACCGCUUUUGGAUGGGCCCGCGGCGCAUUAGCUAGUUGGUAGGGUAAAGGCUUACCAAGGCAAUGAUGCGUAGCCGAAUUGAGAGGUUGAUCGGCCACAUUGGGACUGAGACACGGCCCAAACUCCUACGGGAGGCAGCAGUAGGGAAUCUUCCACAAUGGGCGAAAGCCUGAUGGAGCAACGCCGCGUGGGUGAAGAAGGUCUUCGGAUCGUAAAACCCUGUUGUUAGAGAAGAAAGUGCGUGAGAGUAACUGUUCACGUUUCGACGGUAUCUAACCAGAAAGCCACGGCUAACUACGUG
rnacentral:rRNA from 1 species